AAGGGAGCGUAGGCGGACUGUUAAGUUAGAGGUGAAAGCCCAGGGCUCAACCUUGGAAUUGCCUUUGAUACUGGCAGUCUUGAGUACGGAAGAGGUAUGUGGAACUCCGAGUGUAGAGGUGAAAUUCGUAGAUAUUCGGAAGAACACCAGUGGCGAAGGCGACAUACUGGUCCGUUACUGACGCUGAGGCUCGAAAGCGUGGGGAGCAAACAGGAUUAGAUACCCCUAGU
rnacentral:rRNA from 1 species